rnacentral:rRNA from 1 species
UGGGGAAUAUUGCACAAUGGAGGGAACUCUGAUGCAGCGACGCCGCGUGAACGAAGAAGGCUUUCGAGUCGUAAAGUUCUUGUAUAUGGGAAGAUAAUGACGGUACCAUAAGAAAAAGCCCCGGCUAACUACGUGCCAGCAGCCGCGGUAAUACGUAGGGGGCUAGCGUUGUCCGGAAUCACAGGGCGUAAAGGGUUCGCAGGCGGAAAUGCAAGUCAGGUGUAAAAGGCAGUAGCUUAACUACUGUAAGCAUUUGAAACUGCAUAUCUUGAGAAGAGUAGAGGUAAGUGGAAUUUUUAGUGUAGCUGUGAAAUGCGUAGAUAUUAAAAAGAAUACCGGUGGCGAAGGCGGCUUACUGGGCUCAUUCUGACGCUGAGGAGCGAAAGCGUGGGUAGCAAACAGG